rnacentral:rRNA from 1 species
GAUGAACGCUAGCGGCAGGCCUAAUACAUGCAAGUCGAGGGGUAUGGGCUGCUUGCAACCCAGAGACCGGCGCAAGGGCGCGUAACGCGUAUGCAAUCUACCUUAAACAGGGGGAUAGCCCGGAGAAAUCCGGAUUAACACCGCAUAACAUUGAGUUGUGGCAUCACAGUUCAAUCAAAUAUUUAUAGGAAUAAGAUAAGCAUGCGUGACAUUAGUUAGUUGGUGGGGUAACGGUUCACCAAGACCACGAUGUCCAGGGGAUCUGAGAGGAUGACCCCACGCAUGGGUACAUGGACACCGACCAUAGUACUACGGGAGGGAGCAGUAAGGAAUAUUAGGCAGUGGUCGCGAGUCUUAGCCAGUCAGGCCGCGUGCAGUAAGACAGUGCUACGGGUGGUAAGCUGCUUUUGUACUUGAAUAGAUCUUCUCUUGCGAGAGAAGCUGAACGUACGGUAAGAAUAAGGUUCGGCUAACUCCGUG